rnacentral:misc_RNA from 1 species
UUUCCGUAGGUGACCUGCGGAAGGAUCAUUAGUGAAUUGAAUAUGUUAGCGGACCUCUUCGGAGUCCCUAGCAUCAAAUCAUAUCCAUAACACCUGUGAACUGUAAGGCUGUCUUGAAAACGAAAGUGAUUAGAGCGCCUGCCCACUCUAUACAAACAUUAAAGUAACAAACGUAGUCUUAUUAUAAUCUAAUAAAACUUUCAACAACGGAUCUCUUGGCUCUC